rnacentral:rRNA from 1 species
AACGCGAAGAACCUUACCUGGGCUCGAACGGCUUAAGACAAUCCUUGGAAACAGGGACUUCUCGCAAGAGACUUGAGUCGAGGUGCUGCAUGGCUGUCGUCAGCUCGUGUCGUGAGAUGUUGGGUUAAGUCCCGCAACGAGCGCAACCCUUGUCCUGUGUUGCCACCCGCCUCGCAAGGGGCGGAGCACUCUCGGGAGACCGCCAGCGAUAAGCUGGAGGAAGGUGGGGAUGAUGUCAAGUCAUCAUGGCCUUUAUGUCCAGGGCUACACACGUGCUACAAUGGACGGUACAAAGCGCUGCAAACCCGCGAGGGGGAGCUAAUCGCAAAAAACCGUUCUCAGUUCGGAUCGCAGGCUGCAACUCGCCUGCGUGAAGCUGGAAUCGCUAGUAAUGCCGUAUCAGAACGAUGGCGUGAAUACGUUCCCGGGCCUUGUACACACCGCUCGUC